rnacentral:tmRNA from 1 species
GGGGAUGAUAGGUCUCGACAGGGAAGGGGUAGGCGCGGACUGCAAGCCGAGACGCCUGAGCUCGCAAAAUCGGGCAAACACACAAGUGCCGAAAAAGUACCUGCUUUUAACGCACCUGCCUACAACGCUCUUCCGCUCGCUGCGUAAGACGGCGUAGGCAAAUGCAUGGUCGCCUGCGGGUGACCACGUCCUUCGUCUUUCCCUCCGCGCGGAGGCGAAUGGGCGACGCGCAGCGCGGGGUGCGGCCUGUGGACACCGAUAUGCAGGCCAAAGGGGAUGAGAAUCCUGCCAUCGGUUGGCCCGCCGUCGACUCGGUCGGCGGACGAAGCGGCGGGCGAGAUAUCUGGCGCCGACUAAGCUUGUAGACGUUCGUGUCCAACUUUUCUGGACCCGGGUUCGAUUCCCGGCAUCUCCACCU